rfam:Triticum urartu cultivar G1812 contig1051957, whole genome shotgun sequence.
UUACUACUCCCUCCGUCCCAAAAAGUUUGUCUUAGAUUUGUCUAGAUACGGAUGUAUCUAGACACGUUAGAUACAUCCAUAUCUAGACAGAUCUAAGACAAGCUUUUUGGUACGGAGGUUAAUAUAUU